rnacentral:lncRNA from 1 species
UUCCGGGAGAGCUCAGCGCCGUGGGGCGCUCCGAUCAACGCCGGGAGCGCGCGCGUUGUUGCCGGGCUGCCCCGUUCCUUUCCCGUGCCACCACGGCAGCUGCGUCUCACGGGGGAGGGACAGAACGUGUCGGAAGCUCAAUCCGGGUCCGGCCACGGCCUCCGCCCCAUCCCGGCAGCGCGGAGCGGAGUCCCCGCGGGGAACGGUGGCGCGCCGGGUUGCGAGCAGAGAAGGAGAGGAACCCAGGAAUUGUUUUCUGUGCACGCACCGCACGGCUGCUCCAGCUGCGGGAACGCCGCCGUGCCGCGCACAGCGCCCCAUUCCCGCCGGGUGCCGCGUGGCGCUGCGUGCAGUUCGGCGGUGCGCCCUGCAGGGGGCGCUGCGCGCCGUUCUGCUGCUGCCGGCGCCAAUCCGCUCCCGGGCCGCCCCGCGCGGCGCUGCUCGGCGGCGUCCGACAUCGGCGGCACAUCGUGCGGAGCGCCGUCUGUCCUUCGGGGGUGUCGCGGUUGUGCGUCACACGGAGGGGCCGCGACACCAAGCGGGAGAAGCUCAGCCCGGGGCUGCGGGUCACAACGGAGGAGCGCUGCGCUCACAGAGCUGCGCGGGGCGGGGAGCCGUCCUGACAAAGCCGCGUUGUGUCCAAACGCAGACAGUGCGGAAAGCGAUGGGUCGGGUUAAGGGCGGAGAGCCGCGCGGCAGAGCAAAACGGGGGUGAAGAGAAAGCUGCUGAAGGCCGCGAGAAGUGCCGCGUGCGGUGGGAUUUCCCGCUGAUCGCCUCCCGGCCCGGCCGGCCCAGCAGCGCGCAGAGAAGCAGCCACGGAGGAGCGGCGCCGCGCGGACCGCACCGCGUCACGGCCGGGACGUCCGGGAAGGGCGGCGCAGCCCCUCCAGCCGCGGCCCAUCGGAGCGCACUGCGCGGCCCGCACGGAAAUGCCGGCAUUGAUUCGGUUGUCGCAACGCGCCUCCGUUCUGGAAAGUUUUCUUGAGCUCCUAAGAAAGGGCUCCCGAAGCAUUAAGCUCCACAGGAACGGUCUGCUUGUGGGUUACCAGAGCUGGCAGGGAUGGGGUCAGGAGCAGCGGGGCACGGGUGUGCGGUCCUGCUGUGUAUUAAAUAGCGAUUGGAGCGGAGGAGGGAGAAGGAAACCACGAAUAACAGCAGCACCGUCUGUGGGAGUCAGGUGUUGUUCUGCAGAGUAAUAAAGGACGAAGCUGAGUAAAAAGGGUCACAGAACUGCAGGGCGUGGGGAACCUGAGCAGCAGCAAAGGACUCGGUGUGAGCAGGUGGUGCACGCGGGGCACAGCCCACGCACCGGGUGGGCUCUGCUCUCUGCCAACGCCUCCUGUGUCCGCGUGGGUGCCGUAAGAAGAAGGAAACAAACGGGGAAAGAGAAAUGCAGGGGGUAGGAAGGGGCAGGCUGGAAACGAAGGAUGGGGGGAAGGUUCCGUCAGUGCCUGCAUCUGCGCUGUGCUGCUUCCUGAGCGCCGCGGUUCUCAUCAGGAGCUCCUAACGAGGUCAUGAACUGAGGGGCGAUCAAAGGGACUGCAGGGGAGCCCAGGAAAGGCGGCGAGGAGCAGAGCUGCAAAGAGGCACUCGGAGCGGUAGAACACAGAGCGUACCUCGCUAGCCAAAAACUGCCGAGAGCAUUACCUCCACGGGUACCCAAGGAGACUGAGAGCCG